CCUACGGGACGCAGCAGUGAGGAAUAUUGGUCAAUGGGCGGGAGCCUGAACCAGCCAAGUCGCGUGAGGGAUGACGGCCCUAUGGGUUGUAAACCUCUUUUGCCGGGGAGCAAAGUGCCGCACGUGUGCGGUUUGGAGAGUACCCGGAGAAAAAGCAUCGGCUAACUCCGUGCCAGCAGCCGCGGUAAUACGGAGGAUGCGAGCGUUAUCCGGAUUUAUUGGGUUUAAAGGGUGCGUAGGCGGACGCUUAAGUCGGCGGUAAAAUUGCGGGGCUCAACCUCGCUCCGCCGUUGAAACUGGCGUUU
rnacentral:rRNA from 1 species